UACAGAGGGUGCAAGCGUUAAUCGGAAUUACUGGGCGUAAAGCGUGCGUAGACGGUAGCGUAAGUCGGGUGUGAAAGCCCCGGGCUCAACCUGGGAAUUGCAUUCGAGACUGCUCUGCUAGGGUGCGGAAGAGGGAAGCGGAAUUUCCGGUGUAGCGGUGAAACGCGUAGAUAUCGGAAGGAACACCAGUGGCGAAAGCGGCUUCCUGGUCCAGCACCGACGUUCAGGCACGAAAGCGUGGGGAGCAAACAGG
rnacentral:rRNA from 1 species